UGAGGAAUAUUGCGCAAUGGAGGCAACUCUGACGCAGCCAUGCCGCGUGCAGGAAGAAGGCGCUACGCGUUGUAAACUGCUUUUAACCGGGAAGAAACCCCAGGACGUGUCCUGGGUUGACGGUACCGGAGGAAUAAGCACCGGCUAACUUCGUGCCAGCAGCCGCGGUAAUACGAAGGGUGCAAGCGUUAUCCGGAUUCAUUGGGUUUAAAGGGUGCGUAGGUGGGGCGUUAAGUCAGUGGUGAAAGCCCGCAGCUCAACUGUGGAAUUGCCAUUGAUACUGGCGCUCUUGAGUGCGCUUGAAGUAGGCGGAAUGUGCCGUGUAGCGGUGAAAUGCUUAGAUAUGGCACAGAACACCAAUUGCGAAGGCAGCUUACUAAGGCGAUACUGACGCUGAGGCAC
rnacentral:rRNA from 1 species